GACGAACGCUGGCGGCGUGCUUAACACAUGCAAGUCGAACGGGAUUUAGUAAACAGCAGCCUCGGUGGAAGAUUACUAAUGAGAGUGGCGAACGGGUGAGUAACGCGUGAGCAACCUGCCUAUGACAGUGGGAUAGCCUCGGGAAACCGGGAUUAAUACCGCAUAAAAUCGUAGAAACACAUGUUUUAACGGUCAAAGAUUUAUCGGUCAUAGAUGGGCUCGCGUCUGAUUAGCUAGUUGGUGAGAUAACAGCCCACCAAGGCGACGAUCAGUAGCCGGUCUGAGAGGAUGAACGGCCACAUUGGAACUGAGACACGGUCCAAACUCCUACGGGAGGCAGCAGUGGGGAAUAUUGCACAAUGGGGGAAACCCUGAUGCAGCGACGCCGCGUGAACGAAGAAGGUAUUCGUAUCGUAAAGUUCUGUCCUAUGGGAAGAUAAUGACAGUACCAUAGAAGAAAGCUCCGGCUAAAUACGUG
rnacentral:rRNA from 1 species